rnacentral:rRNA from 1 species
GACGAACGCUGGCGGCGUGCCUAAUACAUGCAAGUAGAACGCUGAAGAGAGGAGCUUGCUCUUCUUAGAUGAGUUGCGAACGGGUGAGUAACGCGUAGGUAACCUGCCUUGUAGCGGGGGAUAACUAUUGGAAACGAUAGCUAAUACCGCAUAACAAUGGAUGACCCAUGUCAUUUAUUUGAAAGGGGCAAAUGCUCCACUACAAGAUGGACCUGCGUUGUAUUAGCUAGUAGGUGAGGUAACGGCUCACCUAGGCGACGAUACAUAGCCGACCUGAGAGGGUGAUCGGCCACACUGGGACUGAGACACGGCCCAGACUCCUACGGGAGGCAGCAGUAGGGAAUCUUCGGCAAUGGGGGCAACCCUGACCGAGCAACGCCGCGUGAGUGAAGAAGGUUUUCGGAUCGUAAAGCUCUGUUGUAAGUCAAGAACGAGUGUGAGAGUGGAAAGUUCACACUGUGACGGUAGCUUACCAGAAAGGGACGGCUAACUACGUG